UGCAAUCAAUGAUGAUUUUUGUGCAUAAUUGCUAAUUGAACAGUGAUUAAUACAAAAUUAUCACCAUCUUUCGACUGAGAUUGCA